UGGAGUCCCAACAGCAGGUUUCACCCCUUUCCUCUAGGAACUGAGACACAGCAGUGGAUUAUCACAGCACACACGUGUUUUCUUCUAAAGAGAAAGUAUUUACAAUCAACACAAACAACCCAUUUCUCCUCUGCCAGCAGCAAACACCUGAGGGCCCCACAGUUUCACACACCAGAGCAGGAAGGGACUGAAGUUCUUCAAAAAAAUUUAAGAAAAUAAUUUGAAACUCAGAUAGUUUCUGCAGGGUCACAGAUUGGGACUGCACCCCGAGGCUCCAGGGACAGCAGCAAGGGGGAAGGUGACCGGGGUGGUACACCUCAGGGAGGUUCUGCCAGGGGAGGAUGGAAACCUCCUGCGGAGGAGAAGGGCAAAAACUCACUUCACCUUGAUUUUCAGUAUGAAUACAGACCGGGAAAGCAGGGCCUGACGAUCCUUCCGGCUUUUUGGGUUUUAGGCAGGAGGUGUCAGAAAAGUUACCACUGGCCAAGCGUUCAUAGCGACGCUGCUUGUCGGUCCUUUGAUGUCGGCUCUUCCUGUCAUUGUGAAGUGGAAUUCACCAAGCGUUGGAUUGUUCACCCCCUAACAGGGAACAUGAGCUGGGAUGAGACAGGUUAGUUUCACCCUACUGAUGGUGUGU
rnacentral:ncRNA from 1 species